rnacentral:lncRNA from 1 species
GUCCUAGACUCCUGACCCGCCCAGCCUCUCCUCCACAAAGGACCCCCGAUCUCCACUGGGGUCUCUAGGCAUGGCUGUGUGUGUGUUCUGUGUCGGUGCAGCACCUGCCCUGCUCUGUGACUGACUCCUAGGCACUACACCUAGUAAAGAAUGUACAGCUCCAUGCACAGCGGGGUCCUGGUUCAUAACUGGGGUGCCUAGGUGUUACUCUAAUACACCUCAUAAAUAACACACCCACAGAUGAAUAAGUGACUCAGAAAAUCUGCCAUGGAAAAGCAUUCAGCUGUAAGGAUGCAAAACAAGUUUUUUUGUCUCAUCCCUGGGGUCAGUAAGUUGUCUGUGGCUCCUCUGAGUGGAAGAACAGCAGCAGUUUUGUGAAACAGAUUUGAGUUGGAGACUUUAGCUCGGCUCCGGUAACAAGUUCAGAUCUGAGCCUUCCAAUCAUCUCUGCUUCUGACACAGCCAGGAGAAAGCGCAGAAGGGCCGGAGAAGAAUGACUUCAAACAGCCCUGCAGAGAGAGAACCUCCGGCAGAGAUGAGCUCGCUCAGCGAGGAACUCGCCAAAGAGCACGUGCCUUGGAGCGACUCCACCGAAUUACAGCAUUUUGUUCUCCAGGAACCAGUAUUUCAUUCUUUUCCAAGCUCGAGUUUAGUCCUGGAUUUCCAAUGGACAACUUGGGGUUUGGGGCAUCGGGUUGGAAAUACAUGAGCUCCCCCUUGGUGCCAGCGGCAAGAAAGUGAAGCAAUUGUAGAGAGUUGGUGCUUCCCAUCGCAGGGUGCCAGCUGGGGCAGAUCCACCAGCGUCUCCUUUAUGCAAAUAAGCUGUAAAAAUACCUCUGGAGAAACUGCUUGCGGCAUUAAUGCUCUCCCGGGGCAUUCCGCUCGGAGCUGAUUAAUCACAGCGGCACAGGCCUGCUGGCAUUUGGUUUGAAAUGGGCCGAGUCGACAGUGCAGCAAGGGAAGAAAUGAACCACAGGGAGGGAAGUAAUUGGAGAAAAUGGGGGGAGGAAUUUGAGCAGGGGUAGCAAAGUCCUGUUGAUUCAGAAGGAAGCGGAUUAGCACAGCUGGGGCCGGGGGCAGCCCAGGG